CCUCUCUUGGCAUAAGCAACUCCAACAGUCCUCUUUGCCUUGUGAGAGCAAUGAACUGGGAUUACUUCUUCAGAAGAGCCCAAAAGAAGUUUCCCAUUUAUCUGGGUUCUCCAAGUGAAGAUGGUGAACUUAUCAGUUCUGUUUCAGUGGCUGGGAUGCUGAAAAGCAUAACUCAGCUAUUGCUUCUGUGAGCAUCUCUCAGGACCUCAAUACCACCACCUUCCCUCAGCUGAAGGAAAACUGGUGACCUUAGCAGUGAAGGGAAAAGUUUACUCUUCUCCCCACCUUAACCAAGUGCUUUGUGCUUCUGAAUUUGAUUUGAUCUUACAGGUGCUUCUGCAGCUGGUGUUCUCUCUGUGUCUUUGCUGGAGGCACAACUUUAUUCCAGCCGCUCUCCAGAGAUGUGUGGAUGUAUUCCUGAAACGUGAAGGCUGUGGCUCUGAGAAUUCAUGGGCCACACAGGCUUCUAACGCACACAAAAUAGGAAACGUUCCACGCUGUUUUAUGCCCCAGUGUAUAGUCCAAGGAGCAAAGCAAAGGGGAGCUGUAAGGAAGAUUGAUAGAGAGAUGCUCUGCCUCUACGAACAGAAUGCUGAUGGGGAGGAUGAAAAUUGGAGAUCCCCAUAUGUUUGAACCACUUAGGACAUUCAAUCUUAAGGAAAAGCCCACUGCAAAAAUUAUGCAAACUCCACAACAAGGAACAUCAGCAAUUUUAGGAAAGGCUGAACUCCUUUCAAAGCCUGAGGCCACGGGUGUUUAGAAACCAUGCUGACAAACAGCAUAAAACAUCCUGAUCAAGAGGGGCUGACAGCAAAGCAACCAGCUGAGACUUCAGUAGUUUUCUCCUUUGAAGCAGAGCUCCAGCUGGUUACAUGGCUGGAAUAUGGGGGGGGAAAGAAAAGGGUAGGAUCAGUCUUGUCCUCAAAACACCAUUAAUGCUGUGGGUAAUCACUGCUGCAUAGGAACAGGCAGAAGGCCUGAAGGCUUGGGAGAUGGCAGCAGCAAAUCUCAGGAACAUUUUGGUGGAAGAGUUUGCACUGUCAAGUCCUGAUCUGACAUGAAGUUUCUGCCAGCAGUUCUAAUGCUCCAUGUAACAUCUGAGAUGGUGCAGGCAGAAAGGAAACCUUAAGCUUGGGUUUUCCAUCAUCUUUUUCUCUCGUUUCCUGAAGAAUCCUUAAGACUCAUACGAUUUUCCAGGCUCUGAGACAGAAGUAAGACUUGUUUGAUUGUUUCUGUAGCAAAUUAAGGAAUGAAUGAAUGUAAUCUCCACCCAACGUAUGCAAAUCCCAAAGAUAACAGUUUAAAUGGUCCCACUGUAAAUGUCUGUAUCUUCAGGGAUGACUACAGAAGUGACACAAAAAGGCUUUGGGGCAACAACUGUGCACUUGUUUGGUUUUUGCCCAGCAGCAUUAACACUGAGCCUUUCUUCUGUGCUAAAACUGUGUUGUAUUCUACUCUAACAGGUAGUAAAAACAACAGCAGAAGUAGCAGGAAGCUGCAGCCAAAGGGAAACUUAUUCCAGAGCAGUAUUGAGCAGGCUGUGCUUCCCUCCCCCCAACGUGAACUGGAAGAGAACCACGCUGUAACUCACCUAAGUGGCCUCUGUCAGUUCAAAUAACACAGCUAACAGUCAGAGUUAAGAAAGCUGCGCCUUGAAUUUCAGCACUGCCAAAUGUUUGCCCUUUUCCAAAUCUCAGAAGUAAUUUUGUGCUCGUUGCAGGAUGAAUCUCUACCGAAAAACAUUACUCUCACUUAGGGGACCUGAGAAGAGUGAACGCAGUGCUUUGCUCAGCACACACAGCUCUCAGUUUAUCUCUUAUUGCCCCUUCUUCAUCUUAUCCCCUUUGUUACUCCACUCUCACCUUUGGCUGCAGCUCUUUGCAUUGGCUUUAUUUCAUGCAGCACCUUGCAAAGCAGAGCUGUUCUCGCAGUCAUUACAUCCAAGGAAAUCCAAAGAUGGAUGUUUCCUCACCCUGAAGCCCCCAGCUGCUAUCUCCAUAGCACAUAACUCUCACCAACACAGCUUGCAUUUGCAGGAUACACAAUUGAAAUUCCACUGACAGUAUCAGCAACACAAAAAACAAGUGCUGGAAUUGCUCGUGCUUUAUAGACACUUCCUGACAGGAGCUUAUCUCUGCCUGUACAAUGCGUUGUCAUCCCCAUAAAUGCUGCAUGUUUGUAUAUUAUGGGUAAUGAAAUGCAGCCCUAACAGCUCAUAAGACACAGGAGGAUUGUCAGAGCUUCUUGCAGCGUCUGGAUAAUUCAAUGUGCGGUGGUUUACAAGAAAACAUGGGAAAGAAAUGAUUAUUAGUGCAAAAAAAACAAACUGGGUGGAACUCCAUGACCAGAAGGAACUUUUUUUAUGACUUUCUGGCAUUCGGGUCUCAAUUAUCAGAGACACAGCUUGGACCAUAAGCAAUAUUUCUCUGUGGCAAAGCCAGGCUGUUUUAUUACUGGCCUCGGAAAGAGUGAAUGUUUUGAUAACGGAGUUAAAGGAAAACCAGAACUGCACAAUUUGAGAGCAGCCUUUUCUGAUCAAGACACGAGUGCUGAGCUAGGUGAGAAGUAAAUCAAUAAUACAGCCCCCGGGAAGGCUCUAUUUAUGAAAAAAUUCUGUAAAUUGAUGCUUAUGUGCUGCUA